UGUCCCGCAACUCCUAUCCCUACCUCCUCGUGGUACUGGCCGGAGAACGAGUAACCUUAGGGCAGAUCGGGCAACCCCGGAGGGAACUCUGGUCGUAUGCUGACAGGGAAUU
rnacentral:ribozyme from 1 species